GAGAUUAAGGCUUAUAGUUGAGUUGAGUAUUACCAUGAUACUUGAUAUUUUAAAUAUUUAGUGGAAUUUCAAAUGCCUCAAACAUGGAAAAUUUAUGAAUAAAAAUAAAAACUUGGAAAGUUCAACAGUAGAAAUAGAAUUUUUGGUUUUUUAAAGACAGGAAUUACAGCAUAGAGAGUAACCUACCAGUGCUAGAGCAUACUGUAUA
rnacentral:misc_RNA from 1 species